GACGAACGCUGGCGGCGUGCUUAACACAUGCAAGUCGAGCGGGGUCCAAGGGGUCGCAAGACUCUGGAAGACCUAGCGGCGAACGGGUGAGUAACACGUGAGCAACCUGCCCCGAAGUUCGGGAUAACACCGGGAAACCGGUGCUAAUACCGGAUCGCCCCACCUGACCGCAUGAUCGGGUGAGGAAAGAAUUUCGCUUCGGGAGGGGCUCGCGGGCUAUCAGCUUGUUGGUGAGGUAACGGCUCACCAAGGCGACGACGGCUAGCUGGUCUGAGAG
rnacentral:rRNA from 1 species